rnacentral:rRNA from 1 species
CUUUUUGAUUAUUAAUUUAAAGUCUAACCUGCCCAUUGAAAAUUUUAAAAGGCUGCAGUAUUUUGACUGUACAAAGGUAGCAUAAUCAUUAGUUUUUUAAUUGAAAACUUGUAUGAAUGGUUGAAUGAAAAAUUAGCUUUUUUAUUUAAAAUAUUGAAAUUUACUUUUUAAUUAAAAGGUUAAAAUAAUUUUUAAAGACGAGAAGACCCUAUAGAGUUUAAUAAUUUUUAAAUUAUUAUAAAUAAAGAUUAAAAAUUAUUUUAUUUUUAAAAUUAUUUUAUUGGGGUGAUAAUAUAAUUUAAAAAACUUAUAUCUAUAUAUACAUUUAUAUAUGAAUAAUUGAUCCAAUAAUAUUGAUUAAAAAAUUAAAUUACCUUAGGGAUAACAGCGUAAUUUUUUUUUUAAGUUCAUAUUAAUAAAAAAUUUUGCGACCUCGAUGUUGGAUUAAGAUAAAUUUUAGGUGCAGCAGUUUACAAUUUAAGUCUGUUCGACUUUUAGAUUCUU